rnacentral:misc_RNA from 1 species
UCGAGUUAGGGUCUCUCAUGGCCCGAUCUCCCAACCCUUGUGUUAAACAAUCCACGUUGCUUCGGCAGGCCCGUCUACCCUCCGGGGAAGACCGCCGGACUCGUCACAGAGUCUGGCCCGCGCCUGUCGGUAGCCCAACUUCAAACUCUUGAUCAACCGUGUCGUCUGAGUUUACAAAUAAAUUAAAACA